rnacentral:misc_RNA from 1 species
GAUGAAGAACGCAGCGAAAUGCGAUAAGUAGUGUGAAUUGCAGAAUUCAGUGAAUCAUCGAAUCUUUGAACGCACAUUGCGCCCUUUGGUAUUCCUUAGGGCAUGCCUGUUCGAGCGUCAUUUACAAAUUCAAGCUCAGCUUGGUGUUGGGUGUCUGUCCCCGCCUCACCGCGGGGACUCGCCUCAAAAUCAUUGGCGGCCGGUACGUUGGCUUCGAGCGCAGCAGAAACGCGAACUCGAGGCCCGGCGGAUCGGCGACCAGAAGUCACUUCUUCACAGUUUGACCUCGGAUCAGGUAGGGAUACCCGCUGAACUUAAGCAUAUCAAUAAGCGGAGGA